rnacentral:rRNA from 1 species
UUCGGGAUGCCGGCGAGUGGCGAACGGGUGAGUAACGCGUGGAUACCUGUCCUGUGGUGGGGAAUAACGUUUAGAAAUGAACGCUAAUACCGCAUAAGCCCUUUGGGGGAAAGAUUUAUCGCCAGAGGAGGGGUCCGCGUCGGAUUAGCUAGUUGGUGGGGUAAAGGCCUACCAAGGCGACGGUCCGUAGCUGGUCUGAGAGGAUGAUCAGCCACACUGGGACUGAGACACGGUCCAGACUCCUACGGGAGGCAGCAGUGGGGAAUAUUGCGCAAUGGGGGCAACCCUGACGCAGCGAUGCCGCGUGGGUGAAUAAGGCCUUAGGGUUGUAAAGCCCUUUCAGUGGGAACGAUGAUGACGGUACCCACAGAAGAAGCCCCGGCUAACUCCGUGCCAGCAGCCGCGGUAAUACGGAGGGGGCGAGCGUUGUUCGGAAUUAUUGGGCGUAAAGAGCGCGUAGGCGGCUUGUCAAG